rnacentral:rRNA from 1 species
GAUGAACGCUGGCGGCAUGCUUAACACAUGCCAGUCGGACGGGAAGUGCUUUUUCUAGUGGCGGGCGGGUGAGUCACGCGUAUGAAUCUCCCCUUGGGAGCGGAACCACAACUGUAAACGGUUGCUAAUACCCUGUAGCCAGUGGCGCAAAAGAGGGACUCCGCCGGAGGGGGGGCUUGCGUCUGAUUAGCUAGUUGGUGAGGUUCUCGAUUACCAAGGCGAUGAUCAGUAGCUUGUCCGAGAGGAUGAUCAGCCACAGUGGGACGGAGACACGGACAAGACUACGACGGGAAGCAGCAGUGGAGAAUUUACCGCAAUGGGCGAAAGGCUGACGGAGCAAUGCGGGGGGGAGGAAGAGGGCCCAGGGGUAGUGAGCUUCUGUUCUCGGAGAAGAAACAAUGACGGUAUCUGAUGAAGAAGCAUCGGCUAACUCUGUG